rnacentral:rRNA from 1 species
AUAGCGUAUAUUAAAGUUGUUGCAGUUAAAAAGCUCGUAGUUGAAUUUUAGGCUUGGUUGGACGGUCUGCUCUAGGGUUUGUACUGUCCUGACCGGGUCUUACCUUCUGGUGAGCUGUCGUAUUGUUUACUCAGUGCGGCAGGGAACCAGGACUUUUACUUUGAAAAAAUUAGAGUGUUUAAAGCAGGCAUUCGCUUGAAUACAUUAGCAUGGAAUAAUAGAAUAGGACUUUGGUUCUAUUUUGUUGGUUUCUAGGACCGAAGUAAUGAUUAAUAGGGAUAGUUGGGGGCAUUAGUAUUUAAUUGUCAGAGGUGAAAUUCUUGGAUUUAUUAAAGACUAACUACUG